UACGUAGGGUGCUAGCGUUGUCCGGAAUCAUUGGGCGUAAAGCGCGCGUAGGCGGCCCGGUAAGUCCGCUGUGAAAGUCCAGGGCUCAACCCUGGAACGCCGGUGGAUACUGUCGGGCUAGAGUCCGGAAGAGGCGAGUGGAAUUCCUGGUGUAGCGGUGGAAUGCGCAGAUAUCAGGAGGAACACCGAUGGCGAAGGCAGCUCGCUGGGACGGUACUGACGCUGAGGCGCGAAAGCGUGGGGAGCGAACAGG
rnacentral:rRNA from 1 species